GAGUUUGAUCCUGGYUCAGGACGAACGCUGGCGGCACGCCUAACACAUGCAAGUCGAACGGAGAUAUUUUGGUUUACUGAGAUAUYUUAGUGGCGGACGGGUGAGUAACACGUGAGCAACCUGCCUYUGAGAGAGGGAUAGCUUCUGGAAACGGAUGGUAAUACCUCAUAACAUAAMGAAGCCGCAUGAMUUUGUUAUCAAAGAUUUAUCACUCAGAGAUGGGCUCGCGUCUGAUUAGAUAGUUGGUGAGGUAACGGCUCACCAAGUCGACGAUCAGUAGCCGGACUGAGAGGUUGAACGGCCACAUUGGGACUGAGACACGGCCCAGACUCCUACGGGAGGCAGCAGUGGGGAAUAUUGCACAAUGGGGGAAACCCUGAUGCAGCGAUGCCGCGUGGAGGAAGAAGGUUUUCGGAUUGUAAACUCCUGUCUUAAAGGACGAUAAUGACGGUACUUAA
rnacentral:rRNA from 1 species